rnacentral:tRNA from 1 species
GCCUGGGUGGCUCAGUCGGUUGAGCAUCCGACUUCGGCUCAGGUCAUGAUCUCACGGUUCGUGGGUUCGAGCCCCACAUCAGGCU